GAUGAACGCUGGCGGCGUGCCUAAUACAUGCAAGUCGAGCGAACUGAUAAGGAGCUUGCUCCUUUGACGUUAGCGGCGGACGGGUGAGUAACACGUGGGUAACCUACCUAUAAGACUGGGAUAACUUCGGGAAACCGGAGCUAAUACCGGAUAAUAUUUCGAACCGCAUGGUUCGAUAGUGAAAGAUGGCCCUGCUAUCACUUAUAGAUGGACCUGCGCCGUAUUAGCUAGUUGGUAAGGUAACGGCUUACCAAGGCAACGAUACGUAGCCGACCUGAGAGGGUGAUCGGCCACACUGGAACUGAGACACGGUCCAGACUCCUACGGGAGGCAGCAGUAGGGAAUCUUCCGCAAUGGGCGAAAGCCUGACGGAGCAACGCCGCGUGAGUGAUGAAGGUCUUCGGAUCGUAAAACUCUGUUAUUAGGGAAGAACAAACGUGUAAGUAACUGUGCACGUCUUGACGGUACCUAAUCAGAAAGCCACGGCUAACUACGUGCCAGCAUCCGCGGUAAUACGUAGGUGGCAAGCGUUAUCCGGAAUUAUUGGGCGUAAAGCGCGCGUAGGCGGUUUUUUAAGUCUGAUGUGAAAGCCCACGGCUCAACCGUGGAGGGUCAUUGGAAACUGGAAAACUUGAGUGCAGAAGAGGAAAGUGGAAUUCCAUGUGUAGCGGUGAAAUGCGCAGAGAUAUGGAGGAACACCAGUGGCGAAGGCGACUUUCUGGUCUGUAACUGACGCUGAUGUGCGAAAGCGUGGGGAUCAAACAGGAUUAGAUGCCCUGGUAGUCCACGCCGUAAACGAUGAGUGCUAAGUGUUAGGGGGUUUCCGCCCCUUAGUGCUGCAGCUAACGCAUUAAGCACUCCGCCUGGGGAGUACGACCGCAAGGUUGAAACUCAAAGGAAUUGACGGGGACCCGCACAAGCGGUGGAGCAUGUGGUUUAAUUCGAAGCAACGCGAAGAACCUUACCAAAUCUUGACAUCCUUUGACCCUUCUAGAGAUAGAAGUUUCCCCUUCGGGGGACAAAGUGACAGGUGGUGCAUGGUUGUCGUCAGCUCGUGUCGUGAGAUGUUGGGUUAAGUCCCGCAACGAGCGCAACCCUUAAGCUUAGUUGCCAUCAUUAAGUUGGGCACUCUAAGUUGACUGCCGGUGACAAACCGGAGGAAGGUGGGGAUGACGUCAAAUCAUCAUGCCCCUUAUGAUUUGGGCUACACACGUGCUACAAUGGACAAUACAAAGGGCAGCGAAACCGCGAGGUCAAGCAAAUCCCAUAAAGUUGUUCUCAGUUCGGAUUGUAGUCUGCAACUCGACUACAUGAAGCUGGAAUCGCUAGUAAUCGUAGAUCAGCAUGCUACGGUGAAUACGUUCCCGGGUCUUGUACACACCGCCCGUCACACCACGAGAGUUUGUAACACCCGAAGCCGGUGGAGUAACCAUUUGGAGCUAGCCGUCGAAGGUGGGACAAAUGAUUGGGGUGAAGUCGUAACAAGGUAGCCGUAUCGGAAGG
rnacentral:rRNA from 1 species